rnacentral:rRNA from 1 species
GACGAACGCUGGCGGCGUGCUUAACACGUGCAAGUCGAACGGAAAGGCCCUGCUUUUGUGGGGUGCUCGAGUGGCGAACGGGUGAGUAACACGUGAGUAACCUGCCCUUGACUUUGGGAUAACUUCAGGAAACUGGGGCUAAUACCGGAUAGGAGCUCCUGCUGCAUGGUGGGGGAUGGAAAGUUUCGGCGGUUGGGGAUGGACUCGCGGCUUAUCAGCUUGUUGGUGGGGUAGUGGCUUACCAAGGCUUUGACGGGUAGCCGGCCUGAGAGGGUGACCGGCCACAUUGGGACUGAGAUACGGCCCAGACUCCUACGGGAGGCAGCAGUGGGGAAUAUUGCACAAUGGGCGGAAGCCUGAUGCAGCAACGCCGCGUGCGGGAUGACGGCCUUCGGGUUGUAAACCGCUUUCGCCUGUGACGAAGCGUGAGUGACGGUAAUGGGUAAAGAAGCACCGGCUAACUACGUG